UACGGGGGGGGCAAGCGUUGUUCGGAAUUACUGGGCGUAAAGGGCUCGUAGGCGGCCAACUAAGUCAGACGUGAAAUCCCUCAGCUUAACUGGGGAACUGCGUCUGAUACUGGAUGGCUUGGAUUCGGGAGAGGAAUGCGGAAUUCCAGGUGUAGCGGUGAAAUGCGUAGAUAUCUGGAGGAACACCGGUGGCGAAGGCGGCAUCCUGGACCAACACUGACGCUGAGUGAGCGAAAGCCAGGGGAGCAAACGGG
rnacentral:rRNA from 1 species